UGGGGAAUAUUGCACAAUGGGCGCAAGCCUGAUGCAGCCAUGCCGCGUGUAUGAAGAAGGCCUUCGGGUUGUAAAGUACUUUCAGCGGGGAGGAAGGGAGUAAAGUUAAUACCUUUGCUCAUUGACGUUACCCGCAGAAGAAGCACCGGCUAACUCCGUGCCAGCAGCCGCGGUAAUACGGAGGGUGCAAGCGUUAAUCGGAAUUACUGGGCGUAAAGCGCACGCAGGCGGUUUGUUAAGUCAGAUGUGAAAUCCUCGGGCUCAACCUGGGAACUGCAUCUGAUACUGGCAAGCUUGAGUCUCGUAGAGGGGGGUAGAAUUCCAUGUGUAGCGGUGAAAUGCGUAGAGAUGUGGAGGAAUACCGGUGGCGAAGGCGGCCCCCUGGACAAAGACUGACGCUCAGGUGCGAAAGCGUGGGGAGCAAACAGG
rnacentral:rRNA from 1 species